rnacentral:rRNA from 1 species
GAUGAACGCUGGCGGCGUGCCUAAUACAUGCAAGUCGAGCGAACGGACGAGAAGCUUGCUUCUCUGAUGUUAGCGGCGGAAGGGUGAGUAACACGUGGAUAACCUACCUAUAAGACUGGGAUAACUUCGGGAAACCGGAGCUAAUACCGGAUAAUAUUUUGAACCGCAUGGUUCAAAAGUGAAAGACGGUCUUGCUGUCACUUAUAGAUGGAUCCGCGCUGCAUUAGCUAGUUGGUAAGGUAACGGCUUACCAAGGCAACGAUGCAUAGCCGACCUGAGAGGGUGAUCGGCCACACUGGAACUGAGACACGGUCCAGACUCCUACGGGAGGCAGCAGUAGGGAAUCUUCCGCAAUGGGCGAAAGCCUGACGGAGCAACGCCGCGUGAGUGAUGAAGGUCUUCGGAUCUUAAAACUCUGUUAUUAGGGAAGAACAUAUGUGUAAGUAACUGUGCACAUCUUGACGGUACCUAAUCAGAAAGCCACGGCUAACUACGUG